rnacentral:lncRNA from 1 species
AAUUGUCCAUUUGCAUAUAUCUAGGGUUUGCAUUCCAUUUAGCCUUCUAGCUUCAUAUUACCCAUUGUUAUACUAAAGUAGAUUUCCAUACAUGCAUUGCAUAACAAAAUACAUGUUUUUGCAUUUGCCUUGACAUUUUAGCUAGUUCAUGCAUUAAUCUUCUACACAUAAUCAUUCAUUCAUUCAAAUUUCAUUCCCGGCC